CGGACGGGUGAGUAACGCGUGGAGAACCUGCCGUAUACUGGGGGAUAACACUUAGAAAUAGGUGCUAAUACCGCAUAAGCGCACAGCUUCGCAUGAAGCAGUGUGAAAAAUUCCGGUGGUAUACGAUGGAUCCGCGUCUGAUUAGCUAGUUGGCGGGGUAACGGCCCACCAAGGCAGCGAUCAGUAGCCGGCCUGAGAGGGUGGACGGCCACAUUGGGACUGAGACACGGCCCAAACUCCUACGGAAGGCAGCAG
rnacentral:rRNA from 1 species